rnacentral:rRNA from 1 species
GACGAACGCUGGCGGCGUGCUUAACACAUGCAAGUCGAACGGAAAGGCCCUGCUUUUGUGGGGUGCUCGAGUGGCGAACGGGUGAGUAACACGUGAGUAACCUGCCCUUGACUUUGGGAUAACUUCAGGAAACUGGGGCUAAUACCGGAUAGGAGCUCCUGCUGCAUGGUGGGGGUUGGAAAGUUUCGGCGGUUGGGGAUGGACUCGCGGCUUAUCAGCUUGUUGGUGGGGUAGUGGCUUACCAAGGCUUUGACGGGUAGCCGGCCUGAGAGGGUGAACGGCCACAUUGGGACUGAGGUACGGCCCAGACUCCUACGGGAGGCAGCAGUGGGGAGUAUUGCACAAUGGGCGGAAGCCUGAUGCAGCAACGCCGCGUGCGGGAUGACGGCCUUCGGGGUGUAAACCGCUUUCGCCUGUGACGAAGCGGGAGUGACGGUAAUGGGUAAAGAAGCACCGGCUAACUACGUG